rnacentral:rRNA from 1 species
UGGGUGGUGUCGGAUUAUUGGGCGUAAGAGCUUGUAGGCGGUUUGUCGCGUCUGCCGUGAAAAUCCGGGGCUCAACCCCGGACUUGCGGUGGGUACGGGCAGACUAGAGUGUGGUAGGGGAGACUGGAAUUCCUGGUGUAGCGGUGAAAUGCGCAGAUAUCAGGAGGAACACCGAUGGCGAAGGCAGGUCUCUGGGCCACUACUGACGCUGAGAAGCGAAAGCGUGGGGAGCGAACAGGAUUAGAUACCCUGGUAGUCCACGCCGUAAACGUUGGGAACUAGGUGUGGGUCUCAUUCCACGAGAUCUGUGCCGCAGCUAACGCAUUAAGUUCCCCGCCUGGGGAGUACGGCCGCAAGGCUAAAACUCAAAGGAAUUGACGGGGGCCCGCACAAGCGGCGGAGCAUGUGGAUUAAUUCGAUGCAACGCGAAGAACCUUACCAAGGCUUGACAUACACCGGAAACACCCAGAGAUGGGUGCCCCGCAAGGUCGGUGUACAGGUGGCGCAUGGUUGUCGUCAGCUCGUGUCGUGAGAUGUUGGGUUAAGUCCCGCAACGAGCGCAACCCUCGUUCUAUGUUGCCAGCGCGUUAUGGCGGGGACUCAUAGGAGACUGCCGGGGUCAACUCGGAGGAAGGUGGGGAUGACGUCAAAUCAUCAUGCCCCUUAUGUCUUGGGCUUCACACAUGCUACAAUGGCCGGUACAAAGGGCUGCGAAAUCGCAAGAUGGAGCGAAUCCCAAAAAACCGGUCUCAGUUCGGAUUGGGGUCUGCAACUCGACCCCAUGAAGUCGGAGUCGCUAGUAAUCGCAGAUCAGCAACGCUGCGGUGAAUACGUUCCCGGGCCUUGUACACACCGCCCGUCAAGUCACGAAAGUCGGUAACACCCGAAGCCGGUGGCCCAACCCUUGUGGAGGGAGCCGUCGAAAGUGGGACUGGCGAUUGGGACUAAGUCGUAACAAGGUAAC